AUACGUAGGGUGCGAGCGUUAUCCGGAUUUACUGGGUGUAAAGGGCGCGUAGGCGGGUCGACAAGUCUGGUGUGAAAUACCGAGGCUCAACCUCGGGGCUGCACUUGAAACUGCCGUACUUGAGUGAUGGAGAGGAAGGCGGAAUUCCAGGUGUAGCGGUGAAAUGCGUAGAUAUCGGGAGAAACACCAGUGGCGAAGGCGGCCUACUGGACAUUAACUGACGCUGAGGCGCGAAAGCGUGGGGAGCAAACAGGAUUAGAUACCCUGGUAGUCCACGCUGUAAACGAUGGAUACUAGGUGUGGGGGGACUUACCCCCUCCGUGCCGCAGUUAACACAAUAAGUAUCCCACCUGGGGAGUACGAUCGCAAGAUUGAAACUCAAAGGAAUUGACGGGG
rnacentral:rRNA from 1 species